GUGGAUAUAGCUCAGUGGUAGAGCACAUGCUUAGCAUGCAUGAGCUCCUGGGUUCAAUCCCCAGUACCUCCA
rnacentral:tRNA from 1 species